CAAAUGUCAGAGUGUUAAAAUCCCAGAGUUUUGAUGACCAGAGUAUAAUUUAUACACUUUGGAGUAAACUGGGCUUAAAGUACACUUGUCAGGUUUCACCAGAAACUCUCUCAAGUGUUAGUGUAUUGGUUCAGUGUUGAUGUGGAGCUGUUGUAGUGUAAAUAGUGGGAUGAUGAACACUUUGAGAGUCAAUCUGUUGCUGUCCCGUCCGCACAUGAGUUUAGCUUUCGAUACGUUAUCAGAUCGACUACGCGUUGUCAUUGGUUGAAUCAUGAUGCAGCCUCGUGGACAUCAGUUUCCAACUGACAUCUGAAGUCGUCGACAUUUUGAUUCUGCGGGACCAUAGUAAUAUGUGAGGAAAACUACAGCAAUGCUUUUCAAAGUGCAGUACCAAGGAAAGAAGAAGUACAUCAAACUCAAUGGAGUAUCAUAUCCAGCAUUUCUCAGGGAGGCUAAAGAGAAGUUCAGCAUACCCCCUGAGACAAACAUGUAUGUGCUGGAUGACAGUGGAACAGAGGUUGAUGAAGAGGUCUUCAGCGACAUCUUGGAGGAAAAAGCAGACAUCCU